GAUGAAGAACGUAGCGAAAUGCGAUAAGUAAUGUGAAUUGCAGAAUUCAGUGAAUCAUCGAAUCUUUGAACGCACCUUGCGCCCUUUGGCCAUUCCGAAGGGCAUGCCUGUUUGAGUAUCAUGAACACCUCAACUCUCAUGGCUCGCCAUGAUGAGCUUGGAUUUGGGGGUCUUGCUGGCCUGUGGUCGGCUCCUCUCAAAUGGAUCAGCUUGCCAGUGUUUGGUGGCAUCACAGGUGUGAUAACUAUCUGCGCUUGUGGUUUUCCAUCAGAUAACCUUCAGUGAUGGAGGUUCGCUGGAGCUCAUAAACGUCUCCCCUAAGCGGGGACAGCCCUUUGAAUGUUUGAUCUCAAAUCAGGUAGGACUACCCGCUGAACUUAAGCAUAUCAAAAGCGGAGGA
rnacentral:misc_RNA from 1 species